GCUGGUCAGGAUGCAUUGCCGGAUAAAUGACACCCAAAGAGCAUCAAAAUACCAGGGAAAUGUUCAAGCCACUGCUGUGUCUGGGGUGCCUAAAUCAGCUACCACAAUGAGACAGCUCAUGGAAAAACUUUGCCUGGGUUUAAGUGAUCUGGCCAGCUCAAGGCUUCGGUUAUGAAGACAACACAAGGGAAUAGCAGCGAGUCCAGGGAAAUUCUAGUGUUGAAGCAGCAGAAGAUAAUUGUUUCAAGAAGAUAAGAGCCUCUUGGGGAAGAAGGCCAUCAAACUGGUA